UCAGGUGCUCAGGCAUGAAAAUAUGCCACUCAAACACUAUACUUUGCUGCUCACACUGAAAAAAAAUUGGAGGGAACAUUGCUCAACAAGUAUUUCAGUGGCAGUCAUGGGGCCAAGGGGACUCCUAAGGCAAAAACUCUGUCUGAAGUAAGAAAGAGGAAUGGGGUUAAGGAAGUUGGGUUUCUCCCCACAGCGGAAAACAAGUCUCUCGCAGCUACAGAGACUGAUGUUAGCAGAUGUGACAUUGAAAGUGAGGAAGGAGAAGCAACAUGUACAACGUCCAGCUAUUUCCAAACCAAAAAUGGCAAGGGAAGGAAGAGGAAGAAGUCUCAUUUUUUUAGAGAAUCGAAGAAAAAAAAAGGAUCUGGGAGACAGCAGGCUUAUUCUAAGAGGAGCUACAAAGCCUGCAAAAGCACAUCUGCCAAUUCUAGAAGUUCUACUUCCUGUGUUUUUCCUGGACAACCAGGAGCUGGCAAGAGGCCGGGAAUCAUGGCACCACCACAGCCGCAGAGCAGACAAUACCUUAAACCUUCUUACGUGCUUUUGUGACGCCCUUAGAAGUUAUUUUCAUUUUUAUAAAUGUUAUUCAGCAUAAAAGUAAUACAUUUUUCAUUGACUUUUAUAUUAAGUACUCAUGUUUCAUUACUUGCUUGUACAUAAAUAAAGCAUUUCAAUUAAGUUA